AGCGAACGCUGGCGGCAGGCCUAACACAUGCAAGUCGAACGAAGUCUUCGGACUUAGUGGCGGACGGGUGAGUAAGACGUGGGAACGUGCCUUUAGGUUCGGAAUAACUCAGGGAAACUUGUUCUAAUACCGAAUGUGCCCUUCGGGGGCAAGAUUUAUCGCCUUUAGAGCGGCCCGCGUCUGAUUAGCUAGUUGGUGAGGUAAAGGCUCACCAAGGCGACGAUCAGUAGCUGGUCUGAGAGGAUGAUCAGCCACAUUGGGACUGAGACACGGCCCAAACUCCUACGGGAGGCAGCAGUGGGGACUCUUGCGCAAUGGGCGAAAGCCUGACGCAGCCAUGCCGCGUGAAUGAUGAAGGUCUUAGGAUUGUAAAAUUCUUUCACCGGGGACGAUAAUGACGGUACCCGGAGAAGAAGCCCCGGCUAACUUCGUGCCAGCAGCCGCCGUAAUAC
rnacentral:rRNA from 1 species